AUUGAACGCUGGCGGCAGGCCUAACACAUGCAAGUCGAGCGGCAGCACGGGUACUUGUACCUGGUGGCGAGCGGCGGACGGGUGAGUAAUGCCUAGGAAUCUGCCUGGUAGUGGGGGAUAACGCUCGGAAACGGACGCUAAUACCGCAUACGUCCUACGGGAGAAAGCAGGGGACCUUCGGGCCUUGCGCUAUCAGAUGAGCCUAGGUCGGAUUAGCUAGUUGGUGAGGUAAUGGCUCACCAAGGCGACGAUCCGUAACUGGUCUGAGAGGAUGAUCAGUCACACUGGAACUGAGACACGGUCCAGACUCCUACGGGAGGCAGCAGUGGGGAAUAUUGGACAAUGGGCGAAAGCUGAUCCAGCCAUGCCGCGUGUGUGAAGAAGGUCUUCGGAUUGUAAAGCACUUUAAGUUGGGAGGAAGGGCAUUUACCUAAUACGUAAGUGUUUUGACGUUACCGACAGAAUAAGCACCGGCUAACUCUGUGC
rnacentral:rRNA from 1 species